AACGAACGCUGGCGGCAUGCCUAACACAUGCAAGUCGAACGAGACCUUCGGGUCUAGUGGCGCACGGGUGCGUAACGCGUGGGAACCUGCCCUUAGGUUCGGAAUAACUCCCCGAAAGGGGUGCUAAUACCGGAUAAUGUCUUCGGACCAAAGAUUUAUCGCCUUUGGAUGGGCCCGCGUUGGAUUAGCUAGUUGGUAGGGUAAAAGCCUACCAAGGCGACGAUCCAUGGCUGGUCUGAGAGGAUGAUCAGCCACACUGGGACUGAGACACGGCCCAGACUCCUACGGGAGGCAGCAGUGGGGAAUAUUGGACAGUGGGCGAAAGCCUGAUCCAGCAAUGCCGCGUGAGUGAUGAAGGCCUUAGGGUUGUAAAUCUCUUUUACCCGGGAUGAUAAUGACAGUACCGGGGUAAUGAGCUCCGGCUAACUCCGUG
rnacentral:rRNA from 1 species